AUCAUUCGUCUGACUUGGCUAUAGGGGCGAAAGACUAAUCGAACUGUCCAGUAGCUGGUUCCCUCCGAAGUUUCCCUCAGGGUAGCUGGAGCCCUUAGCGAGUUCUAUCGGGUAAAGCCAACAAUUAGAGGCAUUGGGGGUGCAAUGCCCUCGACCUAUUCUCAAACUUUAAAUAGGUAGGACGGCGCGGCUGCUUCGUUGAGCCGCGCCACGGAAUCGAGAGCUCCAAGUGGGCCAUUUUUGGUAAGCAGAACUAGCGAUGCGGGAUGAACCAGAAGCCAGGUUACGGUGCCCAACUACGUGCUAACCUAGAACCCACAAAGGGUGUUGGCGAUUAAGACAACAGGAGUGUGUCGAAUGAGAACUUUGAGGGCCGAAGAGGGGAAAGGUUCUAUGUGAAUAGCACUUGCACAUGGGUUACUCGAUCGUAAGAGACGGGGGAAGCCCGUUCGAUAGGGCGACCAGCGCGAGCUUUGAAAGGGAAUCAUGUUAAAAUUCCUGAACUGGGACGUGGCGGCUGACGGCAACAUUAGGGAGUCCGAAGACGUCGGCAAGGGCCUUGGGAAGAGUUAUCUUUUCUAUUUAAUGGCCUACCCACCCUGGAAACAUCUCAGCCGGAGGUAGGGUCCAGCGGCCGGAAGAGCACCGCACAUCGCGUGGUGUUCAGUGCGCCCUCGGCAGCACUUGAAAUUCUGGAGGACCGAGUGCCGUCCGUGCUCGGUCGUGCUCAUAACUGCAUCAGGUCUCCAAGGUGAACAGCCUCUGGUCAAUGGAACAAUGUAGGCAAGGGAAGUCAGCAAAAUGGAUCCGUAACCUCAGGAAAAAGGAUUGGCUCUGAAGGCUAGGCACGGGUAUCCCAGUCCCGAACCCAUCAGCUAUCGGUGUAGCUCGAGCUGCUCUCGCGGAGAGAACGGGUCACCGCGUGCCAGCCGAGGGACAGACUGGGAACGGGUCCCUCGGGAGCCUUCCCCGGGCGACGAACAGUCGACUCAGAACUGGUACGGACAAGGGGAAUCUGACUGAUUAAUUAAAACAAAUCAUUGCGAUGGUCCCUACGGAUGCUCACGCAAUGUGAUUUCUGCCCAGUGCUCUGAAUGUCAAAGUGAAGAAAUUCAACCAAGCGAGGGUAAACUGUGGAAGUAACUAUGACUCUCUUAAGGUAGCCAAAUGCCUCGUCAUCUAAUUAGUGACUGGCAUGAAUGGAUUAACGAGAUUCCCACUGUCCCUGUCUUCUAUCCAGCGAAACCACAGCCAAGAGAACGGGCUUGGCAGAAUCAGCGGGGAAAGAAGACCCUGUUGAGCUUGACUCUAGUCUGACUUUGUGAAAUGACUUCAGAGGUGUAGGAUAAGUGGGAGCUCUCAAGCGAAAUUGAAAUACCACUACUUUUAACGUUAUUUUACUUAUUCUGUGAAUCAGAGAUGAGGCACGGCCCCUCUUUUUGGACCCAAGGCCGGCUUCGGCCGGCCGAUCUGGGCUAAAGACAUUGUCAGGUGGGGAGUUUGGCUGGGGCGGCACAUCCGUUAAAAGAUAACACAGGUGUCCUAAGAUGAGCUCAACGAGAACAGAUAUCUCGUGUGGAACAAAAGGGUAAAAGCUCGUUUGAUUCUGAUUACCAGUACGAAUACGAACCGUGAAAGCUUGUCCUAUCGAUCCUUUAGACCUUCGGAAUUUGAAGCUGCAGGAGUCAGAAAAGUUACCACAGGGAUAACUAGCUUGUGGCAGCCAAGCGUUCAUAGCGACGUUACUUUUUGAUCCUUCGAUGUCAGCUCUUGCUAUCAUUGUGAAGCAGAAUUCACCAAUUGUUGGAUUGUUCACCCACCAAUAGGGAACGUGAGCUGGGUUUAGACCAUCAUGAGAUAGGUUAGUGUUACCCUACUGAUGGUCGCGCCGCAAUAGUAAUUCAACCUAGUACGAGAGGAAACGUUGAUUCGCACAAUUGGUCAUCGCGCUUGGUUGAAAAGCCAGUGGUGCGAAGCUACCGUGCGCUGGAUUAUGACUGAACGCAUCUAAGUCAGAAUCUAGGCUAGAAGCAACGCACGCGCCCGUCGCCCGAUUGCCGACCCGCAGUAGGGCCUCUGGCCCCCAAGGGCACGUGUCGUAGGUGCAGCAACCGCGGUGGACAAGUCGCGGGCACUUUCCUAGAGCGUAAUUCCCACCGAGCAGCGGGUAGAAUCCUUUGCAGACAACUUAAAUACGUGACGGGGUAUUGUUUGUGGCAGAGUGGCCUUGCUACCACGAUCCACUAAGAUUCAGCCUUUUGUCGCUUCGAUUCGUCCCUCCCCUAUCGCCGAUCCGAUCCCCCUCGUUCUUUUGCACGCCCGACCCUGAGGUUCCCAAGUGGGGGACUUGGUGUAAGGAGUUAGUUAAACACCUGGCCGUGUUGCCCCCUUCUAGAAACAUGGCACAACGGGGGCCUUUGCUAGUGACUCCAGGCACUUGUUCAAUUUUCUGCCCCGCCUUGCCAUCAUGCCAUAUUUCAUGGACCCAGCAUUCGGCUUCUUGUAUUUUUUAUGGGCCAAUAGCAAAAUUUUUAGUUAAAAACACCAAGUCACCAAAAAUAACUUUCCCCGCUUCAGACAUGUAGGGGAGCUCCGCACUGUCGGCACCUUGGUGGCUCGGAUGUGUGGGAUCCUCGAGCAGUAUCGGCACCUUGGUGGCUCAGAUGUGUGGGAGCCUCGAGCACCAUCGGUACCUUGGUGGGUCGGAUGUGCAGGAGCCCCGAGCACCAUCGGCAACUUUGGCCCUUGUUGGUGCGAAAGCGUUGGGCUAAAAAAAGUGUCCCUGUUUCAGACAUAUGGAACCCAAAAAAAAAAGUGUCCCUGUUUCAAACACAUGUGUGUCGCCUGGUAGCACAUUGACCAAGUUUUUUUAGCUCUUUAGUGGGGAAGUGACAUUGAGCGAGCAGGGGUUAUCCAGGGCACUGCCCAUGCCCAUCGUAUGCCCAGAUGUCGGUGCCCCCACCACCGGUUAGCUUCCAGGCGGUGCUCCGAAGAUCCAUCCCGGUGAGGCAUCCCAGAAUAUACGAAAACGGUUUCCUCCCCAAUACCAAAGGUAGAAUUCAAAUAUCGUUACAUGUUCGGUACCCAAUAAUGAAUGAAUCGUCUCGGUCCUUCCCCUUUUGCAACAAGAGCCUCCAGCACCUUGGUGGCUCGGAUGUGCGGGAGCCUCGAACACCAUCGGCACCUUGGUGCCUCAGAUGAGGGGGAGCCUCGAGCACUAUCGGUACCUUGGUGCUUGAAUGUGCGAGAGGCUCGAGCACAACCAGUACCUUUGUGCUUGUAUGUGCGAGAGCCUCGAGCACCAUCGGCACGUUCGUGGCUCGGAUGUGCGAGAGCCUUUGACACCAUCAGAAACCUUGGCGCUUGGAUGUGCAGGAGCCUCAAGCACCAAAGUAAAAGUUAGGCCCCUGUUGGUGGGGGAGAGUCGGGUAAAAAAAGUGUCCCCGUUUCAGACACAAUCGGCACCUGGGCGCUCGGAUGUGCAAGAGCUUCGGAUACCAUCGGUAACCUAGGCCCUUGGUUGUGCGAGAGCCUCGGGCACCAUCGGUACCUAGGCACUUGGAUGUGUGGGAGCCUCAGAAACCAUCGGCAAACUAGGCCAUUGGUCUUUGCAGGAGCCUCGUGCACCAUCGGCUACCUAGGCCCUUGGUCGUGCGGGAGCCUCGAGCACUAUCGACACCUUGGUGCUUGGAUGUGCGGGAACCUCGAACACCAUCGUCAACCUAGGCCCUUGGUCGUGCGAGAGCCUCGGGCACCAUCGGCACCUAGGUGCUUGGAUGUGGGGAGCCUUGGACAGUAUCGGCAAACCAGGCCCUUGGUGCUUGGAUGUGCGGGAGCCUCGGGCACCAUAGGUAAAAUAUGCCCUUGGUCGUGCGAGAGCCUCAGCCACCAUUGGGACCUAGGUGCUUGGAUGUGCGAGAGCCUCGGACACCAUCGACAAACUAGGCCCUUGGUCGUUCGGGAGCCUCGGGUAUCAUCGGCAACCUAGGCCCUUGGUCGUGCGAGAACCUCGGGCACCAUCAGCACCUGGGCGCUCGGAUGUGUGGGGGCGUCGGACACCAUUGGCAAACAAGGCCCUUGGUCGUGCGGGAGCCUCGGGCAACAAUAGCACCUUGGUGUUAUGAUGUGCAAGAGCCUCGGACAAUGUCGGCAUCCUAGGCCCUUGGUCGUGCGGGAGCCUCAAGCACCAUCGACACCUUGGUGCUUGGAUGUGCGGAACCUCAGACACCGUCGGCAACCUAGGCCCUGGGUCGUGCGAGAGCCUUGGGCACCAUCGGCACCUAGGGGCUCGGAUGUACGAGAGGCUUUGACACCAUCGGUAAACUAAGCCCUUGGUCUCCCGGGAGCCUCGGGCACCAUCAGCACCUCGGUGCUUUGAUGUGCGGGAGCCUCGGGCACCAUCGGUAGAAUAGGCCCUUCUCGUGUGAGAGCCUCGGGCACCAUUGGCACCUCGGUGCUCAGAUGUCCAGGAGCCUCGAGCAUCGUGGGCAGAAUAGGCCCUUUGUCGUGCGAGAGCGUCGGGCACCAUCGGCACCUUGGUGGCUCGGAUGUGCGGGAGCCUCGAGCAGCAUGGGCACCUUGGUGGCUCGGAUGUGCGGGAGCCUCGGACACCAUCGGCAACCUUGGUGCUUGGAUGUGCGGGAGCCUCGAGCACCACCAGCAACUUGGUGCCUGGGAUGUGUGGGCUAAAGAAAAGUGUCCCCGUUUCAGAUAGUCGAUUGUUUCCUGGUAGCACAUUGACGAAGUGUUUUUAGCUCUUUAAGGGGUAGAGAUCCGCUGCCCCCCGACGUGCCCCCUCUCAGCCGAGGUGGUGUGCAUCUAGCCCCCCAUGGGGGUCGGGUCGACCCGUAAUGACUCAUUAACGGUGUUGGGUUGGUCGCCGGCGGUAGUGGCCGGGGUAAUGAUUUUCUGGCCGGCCAAGCCCGUGCCCAUAGAAAUGUAGCCAACGACUCCAGGACCAAGUUCCCUAUAUCGGGCAAAGAUCUCAUGGGGUGGCUUAU
rnacentral:lncRNA from 1 species